AUUGUGGGGAGAAGGAGGCAGAAGUGCCUUGAUGCACACCAUGAUCCUUGUCCAAAAGCUUAUGUUUUUUUUUUUGAAAUGACGAUUUUCCUAAAUAAUAAGGUCAAACAUGGAACAGACGAAAAAAAUCUGUUUGUCUUAUUGAUUUUAAAUCAUUUUAAUCCCUUUUUUGAUUUCUAGUAUAUCUUCUUGACGUGGCGUGUGGUGUAUUUUGUGGACCCAGAAGCAGUCUCACCACAGUACCCCCUCUCAACGAACGCCUCUUGGCGUUUUUCUGGGUUUGUUGGGGUGAGUGGCGUAGAAGUCUUCGAGGAGUUGAUGGUCCAGGAUGAGGUAGCGGGAGAUCCAGGACCGCUCCCCUGGACCGUAUCCCUAUCUAUGAGGUAUUGGAAGCCUUGUUCCCGAGGCCACACGUCCAGGAUUCGUCCCACAGUGAAGGCAGGGUGGUUGUCAAUCAUCCGGGGGGGAAGAGGGGCGAUGGAAGGAGGGCUCAGGGUGCACGAGGUGACAGGCUUAAUCAGGGAGACAUGAAACGUGGGGUGAAUUUUGAGGGAUGAGGGAAGUUUCAGUCUUACAACCAAGGGGUUAAUAAUCUUCUGGAUAGGGAAGGGACCAAUGAAGCGGGGAGACAGCUUGCACGACUCAGUCUGCAGGGGAAGGUCAUGGGACGAUAGCCAGACCAUCUGACCGGGACGAUAGUCUGGUGCAGGGGAGCAGUGGACGUCAGCCAGGCGUUUGUUGCACUCGGCCGUGCGAGUGAGUGCGGUCCUGGGGGAUUUACACACCUCCCGUAGACGCCUAAUGUGCUCCCUCACCGAUGAGAAGGGCCACCGGGUGCUCCUGUUCGGGAAACAGGGGGGGCUGGUACCCAAAACAGCACAUGAAGGGAGACAUACCUGUGGCCGAGGAGGUGAGUGAGUUAUGGGCAUACUGGAUCCAUGGGAGGUGUGUACUCCAGGACGCUGGAUGAUGGGCCACAACACACCGCAAAGCCGACUCAAGGUUCUGAUUGGUCUGCUCUGUCUGGCCGUUGGUCUGCGGGUGAUAACCCGAGGAGAGGCUGCCUGCCGUGCACAAUGCCUGGCACAAAGCUUUCCAGACCUAGGGAGAACUGGGGACCACGAUCUGAUAUGAUGUCAAUAGGGAUACCAUGAAGUUAAAAAACAUGAGAUACUAGGAGGUUAGCAGUUUCUAGCGCGGAGGGGAGCUUGGGUAAAGGGACGUAAUGCACGAACUUGGAAAAUCUGUCUAUGAUGGUGAGAACAACAGUGUUACCUUCAGAAGGAGGGAGACCAGUGACGAAAUCUAAAGCUAUGUGAGACCAAGGGCAUGAGGGCACAGGCAGAGGAUGCAGCAAGCCAGCCAGAGGUUGGUGGGAGACUUUGCCACAGGCACAGACGGAGCAGGCAGCAACAAAAGCCCUUACGUCCCGGACCAUCCCCGGCCACCAGAACCGCUGCUGAAGGAAUUGGAGGGUGCGUUGAAAUCUGGGGUGACAGGUGAGUUUAGAGGAGUGCCCCCACUGUAGGACGUGGGAACGUGCAACCUCUGGGACAAACUUUCUAUCAGGAGGGCCAGUUCCAGGGUCUGGGUGCUUCAGGAGGGCCUUGUCCACCACGGUGUCGAGCUCCCAAGAGGCGGAGCCGAUGAUACAGGAGGCGGGGAAGAUGGUGUCCGGUUCUCUGGGGUCCGAGGUAGCAGAGGAGUAGAUCCGGGAUGGGGCGUCAGGUUUGAUGUUACAGGAGCCGGGACGAUAGGAGAGGGUGAAGGUAAAUCUGCUGAGGAAGAGGGACCAGCAGGCUUGCCUGGAGUUGAGGCGUCGAGUGGAACAGAGGUACUGAAGGUUCUUAUGGUUAGUCCAGAUGAGGAAUGGGUGUUGUGCUCCUUCCAGCCAGUGUCUCCAUUCUUGAAGUGCCCACACAACAGCCAGCAACUAGGGGGAGUGCUCUGAAAGACAGUCAAGCCAGACCAGGGACACAAAGAAAACAGGAAGUUCUACCAAAAUAAAACCGGAGAUGGAGGCUACUCACAAUACUUGCAUCUGUAAAGCACUUUGAAUUGUCUUGUGUAUGAAUUGUGCAAUAUAAAUAAACUUGCCUUGCCGUUUAUGCAGUUCCUCAAUAGGAUAUGUACAACUCCAUGGCUUCAAACACGCUGCUCUCACAAACUCUCCAUGGUGACGGCUGAUAGCGCACGGAAAAUCCUCCUUUUAAGAGUGCGGUCCACAUCGCUUUUGCACCCAUUAUCAAUUGCGCAUGCAAUGAUAGUAGAUCACCUGCAACACACCCACUAAUAGCACAUGCAAUUUUUUGGUUUGCACACGCAAUUUAGCGCUCGCUAUUUGGGAUCUAAGGGUAUGUUCACACUGCAGGUCAAUUCUGAUUUUUUAACCAUAUAUGACACACAUUUGAUUUUUUCAUCUGAACAGUGCAAUUUGGAUUUUUUCAAAUCCGACCCAGGCCUCUUUUGUAUGUGGAUAUAAAUUGGAUAUGUAUCCAAUGUGACUGCAGUGUGGACCCUCAGGCGCAUUCAUCCGACCUCAUCAAUAUGCGACAAACGUCGACAUUGUUCGACAACGCAAACGGAAAGCAAUUUGUGCUUUGUGCGCAUGCGAGUCACUUCACGGAUGCAUUCCGUUUACAUUAGAUGCGGCAUUUGUUGUUGUAAUGUGAACGACUGCACAAAAAGAUCCAGUUUAACAAAAAAUCCGAAUUGUGCAUCAUAACCUGCAUUGUGAACCUUAGCGCCUUAGCGGAUCAGGCCCUUAGAGCAGUUUUAAAAAGAUUUUGAAUUGAUUGAAUGUUUUAUAACAAUCACAAUCUUAAUAUCAGUCAUAAUAAUUGUGAGUCUCUCAGCGUGAUGAUCUGAUGCGACCAUAAAAAACACGAGCAGUGAUAAUGCACUCAACAAAACACUUUAAGUGGUGCCUUAUGGCGUGCAUGCACAUGAUUACGCUCAUCUGCAGUGUGCAUAUGCCCUAGGACAUCAUCAUGCAUUCUCCUGCUAAAUGCAUGCAGAUUUCAGGGCCUACAUCCAGUUCUCAUAUGAAAGAACUCUGUGUCAGUCCUGAGAAAAGGAUCCCUCCUCUGGAUAACAUGUUUAAAAAUAGAGUAAAAUGACAGCAGAGAGAAAGUGGCAGAGAGAUUAUUAUAGAAUGCAUGCAGGAUUUGAAAGCAGGCAUAAAAAGUGAUUGUCUUCUCUCAAAAGUGCUCAUAAAUUCGCCUCAGCUCAUGUGAGUGUUAUGUAGAGUUUCAGGCAGAUGGUUCAGCAUAUUGCACACUCACCUAUCAAAGUACAGAAGGUGUUAUCUUGACAUUUAUGCACAAAACAGACGAGGCACAAGGAGGCGAAGGUGUUGGACACAGACAGAAACAGGACAGGCACAUUUCCAUGUUUCUGUCUGCUCACUUUCAGGCCUUUUUAAGUCAUCCCUGUGUUUCUGCAGAGUUAUGUGUGCAUACCAUUGUAGUGACUUCUCUUUGGCAGGAGGCAGAACAUUCCAGGGAAACGGCUGACCCUGAAAAACACACACACACACACACACACACACACACACACACACACACACACACACACACACACACACACACACAGGAUAGCAGCCUCCACCCUUUUUCGUUACCCAAGAAUACCAAAACGGCUGUUUCCUAACAGACACAUGACAUUACACUGUGGAGAAACACACACACUCAUACAAUAUAGAAUAUGCAGCUGAGAUAGCAUCGCACAUGACCGUCAUCACAAGAACUCAUGACAGUGUUCACUCCCUCAACUGCUCCAUGACUCCAUUGUCUUCUCACUCCGUACUAAAUUCUGAUUUUUACCCUGCAGCCUGAUUGACCUCCUCCCUCACUGGUGGACAUCACUUUGAUCCAAGGACCGAGAUAUUUCUGUUCACUUUUGCACCAUUAAUCAAAAAUAAAAUCAUUAAGAGAAAAGCAGGUUAUCUAAAGUAUAAAGUUAAAAAAUCAGAUACCAAAUAAUACAAUACUACACACAGAAUACAGUAUAACACUGCAGCAACGAGACAGUAGGAACCAAUAUCACGAUACGAUACAAUUCGAUAUGGAACGAUAUGAUACAAAAUGUUACGAUAUGAUAUGAUAUGAUACGAUAUAAUACGAUAUGAUAUGAUAUGAAACAGUACGAUAUGAUACAAUAUGUUAUGAUAUGAUAUAAUACAAUACGAUACAACACAUUAUUGUACGAUACAAUAUGAUAUGAAAUGAUAUGAUAUGGUUAGAUACAAUAUGAUACUAUAUGAUAAGGUACAUUAUGAAAUAAUAUGAUACCCUACAAUACAAUACGAUAUGACACAAUAUGAUAUGACACGACACAAUUUGAUAUGAUAUGGUACAAUAAGAUAGGAUACGGUACGAUACAUGUCAAUAUGAUACGAUACAAUACAGUAUGAUUUAAGAGGAUAUAAUACCCUAUGAAACGAUAUGAUACAACACGAUAUGAUACAGUACAAAAUGAUAUGGUAUGAUACAAUAUGAUUUGGUAUGGUACGGUACAAUACAAUACGAUACAUUACAAUAUGGUACGAUACAAUAUGAUAAUAUGGUAUGAUAUGAUACAAUACAAUACAAUGUGAUAUGAUACGGUUCAAUAUGAUACGAUAUGAUACGGUAUGAUGUGACAUGAUAUGAUAUGAUAUGAUAUGAUAUGAUAUGAUAUGAUAUGAUACAAUACGAUACGAUACAACAUGAUAUGAUAUGGUACGAUACGAUAUGGUACGGUACAAUAUGAUAGGAUAAGGUACAAUACGGUAGGUACAAUACGAUACGAUAUGAUACAUUACAACAUGAUAUGAUAUGAUAUGAUACAAUACGACAUGAUAUGAUAUGAUAAGAAAUGGUACAAUACAAUACGAUAAGAUACGAUAUCUGAGGAUAUGAUUAAGUAUAAAAUAGCUCACUUCCUUCGUUGGACCCUUUACAACAACAUAUGUUUUGAUUAGAAAAACUUUAAAUAACUUUUUUGUCUUUGACUGGAUUAUUUUUUUUGUUUGUUUUCAUUUGUGAAAAUUACAGAAAAUUCUUGUGUUUUAGUUUUUCUGUGUUAAAUAUGCAAAGACAAACUAUUUAAAUGAAACAAUAAAAAAUAAAUGUCUUAGCCUGAUAUUUCACAAAUGGGGCAAAGCACAGAUGGUAAAAUUGCAUCAAAUACAUAACAAGACAACAAAUAAAAUUAAAACAACAUUUUUACGCUCCUCUGGAUAUAUGAAGCAUAACAAGGUGCAUAAAGAAGUAAAAAAAUAUGUGCAGGUUAUAUAAAAAAUACCCUUGAACAAAUACAUUUCCUUCAUACUCAGCUGAAAUAAUAUGAAGAGAAAAAAGUCUCGACUUGAAUUUGAGCAUCUAAAAUCCUCCAGUGCCAAACUCACAGAACAUUUUAACUGAUAUUCAAAACAUAUUAAUUUUCUGUUGUGGUUAUUCAUAUCAAGACGAUUUCUGUCUCUUCAACUUUCUUCUUUUGAUACGACUGUGUGGUUGUUUUCUUACUUAAUGUCAGCAGUCUGUGUUCAUGAACAUAAACUCUGAUCAUCCCUCGGUCCUCUGACCUGUUUUUAUCUCUCAUGUUACUCCUACGACCAUCUGCUGCCACCAACUCUGCCUCUGAUCUCUGCAGAAGCUACAGAGAAAAGUGUAAAUGAGAGCGAUUAGACUUCAUAUACACUACAGGCCAAAAGUUUGGAAGCAAGGCCAUUACAGGCAGAACAGUUGGGAGUAACUUCAAGUUUUUGUUCACAAUGCUUUUUUUUUAAAUCCAGCACAAGUUGUUUGUAUUUUGGGAUGUAUUUACUCCAUGAUCAGAUGUUGCUUUCAUGGAAAUGCACCAUUUUACUCCAUUUACCUUUAGAUAUACAUUGAUGUUAACAGACCAUUGCUAAAUACAUGUCAGCAAAAGAUAAUAAGGGCUUAGUUUUAGGGUUGAAAACAUUUGCAGGCAUCACAACUUCAGUGCAAAAGCAAAAAAACAAAUCACAGUUGGAUUAUUCACUUCAACUUUUUGGCUUUUGAGAGUCUGCAUACAAAAUCCUAAUAAAUCUCAACUGCGUUCAAACUACCGCAAAAAAUGGCUAGAAAGAAGCAACUGAGUAAAGAAACAAAAGUACAGAUUUGUACAUUGAGGAAAGAAGGAUACACAGAAAGAGAAAUUGCAAAACGCCUAAAGAUGUUUAACAAAGGAGUCUACUACACUCUGAAGAGACUAGAGGAACCUGGAAGUUAUGAUGCUAGAAAAAUACCUGGACGAAAGAGAGUUACUACAAAAGCAGAGGAUAAACAUAUCAUUGUCACCAGUAAGAGAGAUUGGCGAAAAACAGCCCCACAAAUAAGGGAGGAAAUCAACAUGACAAGGUCGAAACCCAUAUCUCUGACAACCGUGAACUGAUGUUUGAGAAAGGCUGGUCUGAAGGGUUGUGUAUCUGCAAAAAAACACUACUUCGUCCACAGAACAAGAAAAAGAAAUACGAGUGUGCAAAAGCUCACAAAAAUUGUGAUGACUAGAAACAAGUUUGUACUGUUUGGUUCAAAACGCAGAGUCUAUGUCCGCAGACAAACUGGUGAACGUCUGAAAGCACCAUGUGUUACACCCACAAUUCAGCAUGGAGGUGGUAGUUCCAUGGUAUGGGGAUGUUUUGCAGGUGAUGGAGUCGGGGCUUUGUUUGAAGUCAAGGGUAUCAUGAAGAAGGAACAGUACCACUCCAUCCUCCAGCACCAUGCUUUUCCAUCUGGACUCAGACUUGUGGCUCAUAAGUUUGUUUUGCAGAAAGACAAUGACCCUAAGCACUCUGCCAAGCUCUGUCAGGGUUACCUAGACAAAAAAAGAAGAGGAAGGUGUUCUUCAAAAGAUGGUUUGGCCCCCUCAGUCACCAGACCUCUCUCCAACUGAGCUUGUGUGAGAUGAAUUGGAUCGAUCGGCCAGAAAAAUGCGUCCCACGAAUCAGCAGUCUCUUUUUAAUGAACUUUAAGAAAGCUUGGAACGCAAUCCCUGGAACAUACCUUAAAAAACUUGUGGAACGAAUGCCUUGUAUUUGCCAAGCUGUUGUUAAAGCCAGAGGA
rnacentral:lncRNA from 1 species